GACGAACGCUGGCGGCGUGCUUAACACAUGCAAGUCGAACGGUGAAGGGACCAGCUUGCUGGUUCUGGAUGAGUGGCGAACGGGUGAGUAACACGUGAGUAACCUGCCCCCUUCUUCUGGAUAACCGCAUGAAAGUGUGGCUAAUACGGGAUAUUCUGGGUCUGUCGCAUGGCGGGCCCGGGAAAGAUAUUGCUUCGGUGGGGGAUGGGCUCGCGGCCUAUCAGCUUGUUGGUGGGGGGGUGGCCUACCAAGGCGGUGACGGGUAGCCGGCCUGAGAGGGUGGACGGUCACACUGGGACUGAGACACGGCCCAGACUCCUACGGGAGGCAGCAGUGGGGAAGAUUGCACAAUGGGCGCAAGCCUGAUGCAGCGACGCCGCGUGAGGGAUGGAGGCCUUCGGGUUGUAAACCUCUUUCGCCAGUGAAGCAGGCCUGCUCCUUGUGGGUGGGUUGACGGUAGCUGGAUAAGAAGCGCCGGCUAACUACGUG
rnacentral:rRNA from 1 species